rnacentral:rRNA from 1 species
AGAGUUUGAUCAUGGCUCAGAUUGAACGCUGGCGGCAGGCCUAACACAUGCAAGUCGAACGGUAACAGGAAGCAGCUUGCUGCUUUGCUGACGAGUGGCGGACGGGUGAGUAAUGUCUGGGAAACUGCCUGAUGGAGGGGGAUAACUACUGGAAACGGUGGCUAAUACCGCAUAACGUCGCAAGACCAAAGAGGGGGACCUUCGGGCCUCUUGCCAUCAGAUGUGCCCAGAUGGGAUUAGCUUGUUGGUGAGGUAACGGCUCACCAAGGCGACGAUCCCUAGCUGGUCUGAGAGGAUGACCAGCCACACUGGAACUGAGACACGGUCCAGACUCCUACGGGAGGCAGCAGUGGGGAAUAUUGCACAAUGGGCGCAAGCCUGAUGCAGCCAUGCCGCGUGUAUGAAGAAGGCCUUCGGGUUGUAAAGUACUUUCAGCGGGGAGGAAGGUGUUGUCGUUAAUAACCACAGCAAUUGACGUUACCCGCAGAAGAAGCACCGGCUAACUCCGUGCCAGCAGCCGCGGUAAUACGGAGGGUGCAAGCGUUAAUCGGAAUUACUGGGCGUAAAGCGCACGCAGGCGGUCUGUCAAGUCGGAUGUGAAAUCCCCGGGCUCAACCUGGGAACUGCAUUCGAAACUGGCAGGCUUGAGUCUUGUAGAGGGGGGUAGAAUUCCAGGUGUAGCGGUGAAAUGCGUAGAGAUCUGGAGGAAUACCGGUGGCGAAGGCGGCCCCCUGGACAAAGACUGACGCUCAGGUGCGAAAGCGUGGGGAGCAAACAGGAUUAGAUACCCUGGUAGUCCACGCCGUAAACGAUGUCUACUUGGAGGUUGUGCCCUUGAGGCGUGGCUUCCGGAGCUAACGCGUUAAGUAGACCGCCUGGGGAGUACGGCCGCAAGGUUAAAACUCAAAUGAAUUGACGGGGGCCCGCACAAGCGGUGGAGCAUGUGGUUUAAUUCGAUGCAACGCGAAGAACCUUACCUGGUCUUGACAUCCACGGAAGAAUUCAGAGAUGGAUUUGUGCCUUCGGGAACCGUGAGACAGGUGCUGCAUGGCUGUCGUCAGCUCGUGUUGUGAAAUGUUGGGUUAAGUCCCGCAACGAGCGCAACCCUUAUCCUUUGUUGCCAGCGGUCCGGCCGGGAACUCAAAGGAGACUGCCAGUGAUAAACUGGAGGAAGGUGGGGAUGACGUCAAGUCAUCAUGGCCCUUACGACCAGGGCUACACACGUGCUACAAUGGCGCAUACAAAGAGAAGCGACCUCGCGAGAGCAAGCGGACCUCAUAAAGUGCGUCGUAGUCCGGAUUGGAGUCUGCAACUCGACUCCAUGAAGUCGGAAUCGCUAGUAAUCGUGGAUCAGAAUGCCACGGUGAAUACGUUCCCGGGCCUUGUACACACCGCCCGUCACACCAUGGGAGUGGGUUGCAAAAGAAGUAGGUAGCUUAACCUUCGGGAGGGCGCUUACCACUUUGUGAUUCAUGACUGGGGUGAAGUCGUAACAAGGUAACCGUAGGGGAACCUGCGGUUG